UUAUUUCCUUCAAAUACUGCAAAAUGUGAACAGUUUUCAUAAUGUAAAACUGAAAGUUGGAUGACUAAAUUGUCGAUUUACCAGUGGUCUAUUUCUCUUAUUAUAGAUGUGAUACCUUGAAGCUUCAGCAAAUUAAACCUGGAACUCAUUGGUCCGACUUUGAAUGUGGACCACAGACCUCCCCUCCCAUAGCAAUAAUAUCUGCUGUGGUGGUGGGGGUGGUACUAGCUGUGAUAUCAGCAGUGAUGGCAGUAGCUAUUAGAAGAAAAAGAAAAGCUCCUGUAUCUGGGAGGACUUUUCCAGAGACACAAAGCCCUACAGAGGUAUGUUAAUGAAUAACCCCCCCAAUACCCACUUUAUACAGCAGUGUUCUCUAUCAUACUCAAUGUGGUAAGGAGAUGGCUGACAGGAAUCUGUAUUACCUCAAGGGUUGCACUUUUUAAAGUUUUAUUGAGUUGAGGUUUCCUUUUACUAGGUAUCAGACACAGAGGGAACAUCAAUGCUGUUUGUGGGAACAAGAACAGGUAAGGUGGCCUAUAACAUCAGAAUGGUACAGUAUGCCUGUUCAUGAAUUUCAGCCAGAUUUGAGCUAAAAUGUGUCUUAUGAAUAUUAUACAGAUUCAAGCCUCCAGGACAUUCAUCAGAAAAAUCCAGUCUAAUGUGUGGUUCAUUGGCUUGAAAAUGAGACAAGGCAGUAGGGCCCAAUUUCAGUCCACUA
rnacentral:lncRNA from 1 species